GGCCCCGUAGCUCAGGGGAUAGAGCAGAGGUUUCCUAAACCUUGUGUCGGAAGUUCGAAUCUUCCCGGGGUCGCCA
rnacentral:tRNA from 6 species